rnacentral:lncRNA from 10 species
UUUGGUUUUAUUUUUUUGAGAAAGAGUCUCACUCUGUCACCCAGGCUGGAGUGCAGUGGCACAGUCAUGGCUCACUGAAGCCUCAAUCUCCCAGGCUCAAGCAAUCCUCCCACCUCAGCCUCCCAAGUAGCUGGGACUACAGGUGCAUGCCACCACCUCUGGAUAAUUUUUUUUUUUUUUUUGUAGAGACAGGAUCUUGCUAUGUUGCUCAGGCUGGUCUCAAACUCCUGACCUCAAGUGAUCCUCCUGCUUGGCCUCCAAAAGUGCUGGGAUUACAGGCAUGAGCUGCCAUGCCCAGCCUCAAAUUUCUUUAAAAUGAUUUUUAUCUUUCUUCAACGAUAAGGUUCUUGCCUAUAUUUUACCAGAGAGCAACUAGUUUCCUGCGUAUCCCUCUAUUUUAUCUUUCUUUGUAUAUUUAAAAUGAAAAAAAUUAAAUAUCAUGCUUCAGAUCUGGCAACCAAUUAUGUAAAUAGUCAUAUGAAUCCUUCAGAAUGGAUAACACAGCUUUUCUGACUGGUGUGAAAUAGUUUUCAGGUGCUCAUUCUUUACUUCAUUAGCUUAUCUUAUAUCAUUAGCUUAUCCUCCAUUCAGGUAUAACAGAUCUUUUUUUUCUGAUAAAUAUGGCAGUUUAGGGAAAUAAACUAUGGCAUAAUAUGCUAGGCCAUUCUUCUAGGCCACGCUUCUUGAUUGUAACCUUAAACCCUUUAUCAGAACCUAAACAACUUUUCAAAAGAUCUAUACAUAUUUUUAUCCAAUGUUUAAGGCUAUGAGUAAUUCAUUAUGUCACUCUUCAUUUUUUUCACCUGAUAAUGAUCUCGACAAAAAUGUUGAGUAUUAGUUUUCCUUCCAAUGUGUAAGUUGUAUAAACAUCUCUCUUUACUGGUAACUAACUAUCUCUAAAGGGAGACAAGUAAUUUUUAAGUUUCUAAUAAUAAUUGAAAAUUUGAAUAUAAAUAUAUUUCACCUAUGAUAACCAUGUACCCAAGGCAAGGCUGAAGUUGGGAUCUAAAUUAUCUGAAAAGUUGUUCACCUCUCCAGCUCUGCUUAGGUAUAGAAAAGAAUGGUUUCUGGAGUCACAUAGUAACAGUUUAAAUCCUGGCUCUGCCGUUUCACAUGCUGUAUGACUUUGGACAGAUUAUUUAAACUCUGUGUGCCACAAUUCUUCGUCUUUAAAAUGUGGCUAAUAAGACUGCCCACCUCAUAGGGUUGUUGGGGUGAUAAAAUGAGUCAACAUACGCAAAAUGCUUAGAAAAAUAUCUGGUGUAUAGUGGAUAUAUAUGUUAAUGUUAUUGAGAUUUCAUUUACUUUUGGAUUGCAAAAGGAACUGAAAAGACCCAAUUCUUACUCUAUGUCAACAUGUAGGAAUAAGUAAACAAAAUAUGGUUUGAAUUUUGUCCUGAAUGCAUUAACUUGAAUCUAACUAAAACCUGGUUACUAUAUUAGAAACAAUUUUCUCUUUGAUUUGCCCAGGAGAUUUGUUUUCCAGUUAUGUCUAAAAUAAUACUCUUUCUUUUUAUUCUUUUCAGUAUAUAUUUUUAUUGUUUUUCAUUUAAUAGUGAUGCAUAGUGUAUCUUUUCUGAUUUACUUUAAAUGUGAAAGAAAAUUCUAAGAUGUUAAUAUUAUUAUUACUGCCAUUGAUAUAUCCCUUAUAGGAAUUAAUUAAUAGAAAUAGAAUCAAAGUAAAUUUAGUUAUAUAAUGCUUAGCAUGUAUUAUAUUCUCAAAAUUCUGUAUUCAGUUUCAGACAUGUUCAAGGCUGAAUAUAUGAUCUGACAAUAAUCUGCUUAUAUAGAUAAAAACAUCAUUUGAGUGGAUUAAUUUAUUAAUUCAACUGGUAUUUACUAAAUAAAAUCCAUGUAUCUUUCACAAUUUUUACUAAUACUUUCUAUCACUAUCAGAAUCUGAAAUCUCAGAUUUCAUGCUUUAAAAAGAAUUAAUUUAACAUGAAUUAUAAAUUAUAAUUACUUAUAUGAAUUGGAUAACUAAAUAAAAUAACAAGAUAUUUAAGGGGAGAAAAUCUUAUAUGUGGCAAGAUAAGUGGUGCUCCAUUCAGUGUAUUAAUUGCAACCAAUAAAUUGGUUAACUGUG